rnacentral:rRNA from 1 species
GGCGGUGGCUAUAGCGGUGGGGAAACGCCCGGUCUCAUUCCGAACCCGGUAGCUAAGCCCACCAGCGCCGAUGGUACUGCACUCGGGAGGGUGUGGGAGAGUAGGACACCGCCGCCA